CAACAAUAAAUUGAACAAUAAAUUGACAAAGUUAUUCAAGGCCAAAUUUGACGUGUUAAAGCACACUUUGACAUCUAUGUUUGUUCGUUAUAAACUUCACGUGAAGAAAUUGACGAAAAAGUAAAUUGUUCUAUUUUUUCAUUUAUUUGGCGUGAAUUCAGUGUCACCAACCUGUGUCCAUUUGGCGGGAAGUGGAAGUAGAGCUUUUUGUUUAUUAUUAUUUGUUGAGGUUUUCAUGUUCAUGACAACCUAAAAAUUUUGAUUGGAAAAUGCAUAUAAGAUAAGGGGGUGGGAAAAUGGAAAUUAGUGGCUUUUUUUGCAGUUCUGUCUGUUAGUUUUGCGUUUUGCUCUGGCUGGGUCUCUUUUGUUUAAACAAUUAUAAUCAGCUGAAAGUGGUCUACAAAAAAACCAGGAAGGAAACGUAUUAUAGCCUUGUUGUGGCUAUGAAAGGCAAAAGAAAGAUACCUAUAAAAAGUGUAUUGACUAGUUGGAAGAAACUCCACAUUGUCGAUGCAUAAUAAGAUAUUACUUUAUAAACAAAUAUCAAGACCUAGGAAUGGAACCUGGAUAAUAUAGUCAUCAAGAAGAUAGCAGGAAGUCAUGAGCAACAACAACUUCAUAAGUAUGAGAAUAUUGAGGAAAUCCACACUCCUCGAUAUCUACUACUGGACAAACUAGAAGAUUGAAGAGGACAAAGCCUUUUGAACUAGUUUGAGUGAUAGGUGAUAGUGAAAAGCAGAGCGUAGUGCUUGUGUGCCUGUGUAUGUUAGAAUAGUGCACGAUCUUGUUAGAUUAGAUAAGAGACGCUAUGGGGUAAGCUCUUCAUUUUAAGGAACAGUAGUAAUUUAGGUUAAAUUAAAUUUGCUCAUUGGUCAGUUAUGACCAGAUUGUAAUUCUCUGAUGUUUGGCAAAAAGGGCUUAAGUCAGAAUUGCACAUCAAUAAUGUUUUGAUGAUUUUUGGACCAUAAAAAAAGUGUUGCAGACUUACACUGUAUGUACCAAUAAAAAGAGCCGAUUUUUCUGGUCCAGAAAUCAUCAAAACAUUAUCGAUGUGCAAUUCUGACUUGAGCCCUUUUUCCCAAACAUCAGAGAAUUGCAAUGUACAAUUCAAUACAAAUGAAUCAUCAUCCUAGUGAUGAUUAUGGAAAAAAAUAUAUGACAAGAUUUUGUGCAAUAAAAAUGUUUAUAUUUA
rnacentral:lncRNA from 1 species